rnacentral:tRNA from 1 species
GCCCUGAUGGUCUAGCGGUAUGAUUCUCCCUUAGGGCUACCUUGUAUGGGAGAGGUCCCAGGUUCGAUCCCUGGUUAGGGCC